CCCGCACAAGCGGUGGAGCAUGUGGUUUAAUACGAUGCAACGCGAAGAACCUUACCUACUCUUGACAUCCACGGAAUUCGGCAGAGAUGCCUUAGUGCCUUCGGGAACCGUGAGACAGGUGCUGCAUGGCUGUCGUCAGCUCGUGUUGUGAAAUGUUGGGUUAAGUCCCGCAACGAGCGCAACCCUUAUCCUUUGUWGCCAGSGAUUCGGUCGGGAACUCAAAGGAGACUGCCGGUGAUAAACCGGAGGAAGGUGGGGAUGACGUCAAGUCAUCAUGGCCCUUACGAGUAGGGCUACACACGUGCUACAAUGGCGCAUAUAAAGAGAAGCGACCUCGCGAGAGCAAGCGGACCUCAUAAAGUGCGUCGUAGUCCGGAUCGGAGUCUGCAACUCGACUCCGUGAAGUCGGAAUCGCUAGUAAUCGUGGAUCAGAAUGCCACGGUGAAUACGUUCCCGGGCCUUGUACACACCGCCCGUCACACCAUGGGAGUGGGUUGCAAAAGAAGUAGGUAGCUUAACCUUCGGGAGGGCGCUUACCACUU
rnacentral:rRNA from 1 species